UACGAAGGGGGCUAGCGUUGCUCGGAAUCACUGGGCGUAAAGCGCACGUAGGCGGAUUGUUAAGUCAGGGGUGAAAUCCUGGAGCUCAACUCCAGAACUGCCUUUGAUACUGGCGAUCUCGAGUUCGGGAGAGGUGAGUGGAACUGCGAGUGUAGAGGUGAAAUUCGUAGAUAUUCGCAAGAACACCAGUGGCGAAGGCGGCUCACUGGCCCGAUACUGACGCUGAGGUGCGAAAGCGUGGGGAGCGAACAGG
rnacentral:rRNA from 1 species